rnacentral:rRNA from 1 species
UCAAGCUACUAAGUGCAAAUGGUGAAUGCCUAGGAGCCGGGAGGCGAAGAAGGACGUGGUAAGCUGCGAAAAGCUGCGGGUAACUGCAAACAAGUACCGAUCCGCAGAUUUCCGAAUGGAGCAAUCCGGCAGUAGUAAUGUGCUGUCAUUUCUGGAUGAAUUCAUAGUCCAGGAAGGCGAACGGGGUGAAGUGAAACAUCUCAGUAACCCCAGGAAAAGAAAAUGAAGAUGAUUCCGUGAGUAGUGGCGAGCGAAACCGGAAGAGCCCAAACCGAAGGGAUUUAUCCUUUCGGGGUUGCGGGACCACGCUAAAGACCAUGAUUGAAGGCGAGCUGAACGUUUUGGAAAGAACGGCCAUAGGGUGUGAAAGCCACGUAAGCGAAGCUGUAGGUCGGUCUGUGGUAUCCCAAGUAAUGCGGUGUAAGUGGAACUCUGCAUGAAUCUGUCCCGACCAUGGGAUAAGGCUAAAUACUACCCGGCUACCGAUAGUGAACAAGUACCGCGAGGGAAAGGUGAAAAGAACCCCUGCUAGGGGAGUGAAAAGAAUCUGUAACCAUUUGCAUACAAAGUGUGGGAGCGCCAAAAAGGGCGUGACCGCCUGCCUUUUGCAUAAUGAGUCUGCGAGUUAUUAUCAGUAGCAAGCUUAAGGGAUGAAGAUUCCGGAGGCGAAGCGAAAGCGAGUGUGAAUAGCGCGAAUAGAGUUGCUGGUAAUAGACCCGAAGCGGAGGUGAUCUACAUUUGAGCAGGUUGAAGCUGUGGUAACACACAGUGGAGGACCGAACCCGUGAACGUUGAAAAGUCCUGGGAUGACUUGAGUGUGGGAGCGAAAGACUAAUCAAACCCCGUGAUAGCUGGUUCUCUCCGAAAUCGCUUGAGGGCGAGUGUUGACUAAGUACUCCAUGGAGGUAGAGCACUGGAUGGCUUAGGGGCCUUACCGGGCUACCAAAACCAAUCAAACUCCGAAUACCAUGGAACCCAUUAUUUCAGCAGUCAGGCAGUGGGGGAUAAGCUUCAUUGCCGAGAGGAAAACAGUCCAGACCGUCAGCUAAGGUGCCCAAACAAGGUUAAGUGGAAAGGAUGUGACGUCGCAAAGACAGUGAGGAUGUUGGCUUAGAGGCAGCCAUCAUUUAAACAGUGCGUAACAGCUGACUCAUCGAGCGAUGCCGCGCCGAAAAUGAUUGGCGAUUAAACCUUGUACCGAAGCUACGGAUUCUCAAAGGCCAAGGUCGUUGAGAGUGGUAGGAGAGCAUAGUUGCAGCAUUGAAGCCAAGGGGAAACCCGAGGUGGAGCACCAACUAGAGAGAAUGCAGACACGAGUAGCGAUAAAUCAGAUGAGAAUUCUGAUCGCCGUAAACCUAAGGAUUCCUGGGGCAGGUUCGUCCUCCCAGGUUUAGCCGGGAGCUAAGGCCAGGCCGUAAGGCGUAGUCGAUGCACAGAAGGUCAAUAUUCCUUCGCCGGGCUGGGGUUAGGUUAAGAUGACGCAAGCACGGGAAAACGGGUUAAGUGACCGGAUUCACAGCGCGGAAUAAUACCCGCGCGCUCCCGCAGACCCCUUGCCAAGAAAAGUCUUAACUACGCUCCCCAGUUCGCCCGUACCGUAAACCGACACAGGUGGGUGAGAUGAGUAUUCUAAGGCGCGCGAGAGAAACCUCUCUAAGGAACUAGGCAAAAUAGCCCCGUAACUUCGGGAGAAGGGGUGCCGUCCGAAAGGACGGCCACAGUAAAGUGAGCUUUGCGACUGUUUACCAAAAGCAUAGCGCUCUGCUAAGUUGUUAAAACAACGUAUAGGGCGUGACACGUGACCAAUGCGAAAAGAUUAAGGCAACUUGUUAGGCGUUUUAGCAAUAAAACGCCGAAGCUCGGAACCCAAGUCCUCGUGAAUGUCGGCCGUAACUAUAACGGUCCUAAGGUAGCGAAAUUCCUUGUCGGG